AUUGAACGCUGGCGGCAUGCUUUACACAUGCAAGUCGAACGGUAACAGGCCGGAAGGUGCUGACGAGUGGCGAACGGGUGAGUAAUGCAUCGGAACGUGCCCAGUCGUGGGGGAUAACGCAGCGAAAGCUGCGCUAAUACCGCAUACGAUCUAAGGAUGAAAGCGGGGGACCUGUAAGGGCCUCGCGCGAUUGGAGCGGCCGAUGUCAGAUUAGGUAGUUGGUGGGGUAAAGGCUCACCAAGCCGACGAUCUGUAGCUGGUCUGAGAGGACGACCAGCCACACUGGGACUGAGACACGGCCCAGACUCCUACGGGAGGCAGCAGUGGGGAAUUUUGGACAAUGGGCGCAAGCCUGAUCCAGCAAUGCCGCGUGCAGGAAGAAGGCCUUCGGGUUGUAAACUGCUUUUGUACGGAACGAAACGGCUCUGGUUAAUACCUGGGGCUAAUGACGGUACCGUAAGAAUAAGCACCGGCUAACUACGUGCCAGCAGCCGCAGUAAGAC
rnacentral:rRNA from 1 species